rnacentral:rRNA from 1 species
UACGAAGGGGGCUAGCGUUGCUCGGAAUCACUGGGCGUAAAGCGCACGUAGGCGGAUUGUUAAGUCAGGGGUGAAAUCCUGGAGCUCAACUCCAGAACUGCCUUUGAUACUGGCGAUCUUGAGUCCGGGAGAGGUGAGUGGAACUGCGAGUGUAGAGGUGAAAUUCGUAGAUAUUCGCAAGAACACCAGUGGCGAAGGCGGCUCACUGGCCCGAUACUGACGCUGAGGCACGGAAAGCGUGGGGAGCAAACAGG